CCUACGGGAGGCAGCAGUGGGGAAUAUUGCACAAUGGGGGAAACCCUGAUCCAGCGACGCCGCGUGAGUGAAGAAGUAUUUCGGUACGUAAAGCUCUAUCAGCAGGGAAGAAAAUGACGGUACCUGACUAAGAAGCCCCGGCUAACUACGUGCCAGCAGCCGCGGUAAUACGUAGGGGGCAAGCGUUAUCCGGAUUUACUGGGUGUAAAGGGAGCGUAGACGGCAGCGCAAGUCUGGAGUGAAAUGCCGGGGCUCAACCCCGGAACUGCUCUGGAAACUGUGAAGCUGGAGUGCAGGAGAGGUAAGCGGAAUUCCUGGUGUAGCGGUGAAAUGCGUAGAUAUCAGGAGGAACACCAGCGGCGAAGGCGGCUUACUGGACUGUAACUGACGUUGAGGCUCGAAGGCGUGGGGAGCAAACAGGAUUAGAUACCCGAGUAGUC
rnacentral:rRNA from 1 species